rnacentral:lncRNA from 1 species
UUUUAUCACAGAACUUUUAAUUUAUUCUCAUCAAAAGCACUCUAUUCAACUUAAUUAGGCAUUUUUUUCAAUCAUAUAUCACUGUUAGGUACACACAUGAAAAGAAAACAUAAAUGGGCCAGUUCCAGUGGCUUAGUGGUGAAGUUUGGUGCUCUCCGCUUUGGUGGCCCAGGUUCAGUUCCCAGGCAUGGACCUACACCAUUCAUCUGUCAGUGGCCAUGCUGUAGCAGCGGCUCAUGUACAAAAAGGGGAAGAUUGGCAGUAGAUAUUUGCUCGGGGCAAAUCUUCCUCAGCAAAGAAAGAAAGAAAGAAAGAAAACAUAAGCAAAACUAAUUGCUUAAGUCUCUAAAACUUCUUCACAUUCAGAAUCCAACUCUUCUGAAUCACCUUUACUCUGAGUGGCUGGUGGCCAGGUCAUUUUCAUGUAACAUUGCCCUCUGUGACAUCAAGAGCACAGAUGAUGCUACAUUCCUUCUAAGAGGGCUCCACUACCAUCUCUGGGAUUUUCUUCGGAGCUGCUGACACCCAUUUUGCAAGUUUUGAUUCUGGACUUUCUUGGUCUCACCAGAAGGUGUCAAUGGAAGAUUUACAGACAAGAACCCAGGAGUCCUUCUUCAAAUGGCCCCUAACUGGUUUGUGGCUAGAACAUGGCAGGGCUCAUGUUGUCCGGAAAAGCCACCAGGAAGAACAAUCCCCUUCUGGCACAGGCAGGCAGCAGUACCCACAUCGCGACUGUUACAUCUCCAACAGUCAUUGUGAUGAUGUCACGCCUGGUGAAAUCGCAUCCCGAUUUCAGAGACAGGAACGUGUGGAAAACCUCAAAAGGGAUGAACUUCAGUUGCUGGGUGACUGCGCUCUCGUGUGCUCUGGGCUAACUAGACUCACGCAGUUCUAGAAGCUGUAGGGAGAACCGACUCCCCCUGCUUGGUGGCAGAGGUGGCCUUUGAGCAGCAGCCUGAAGCAUAAAGAGGAAUGCACCACAAAGCCAGGGGAAGGCACUCCGGGCUGAAGGACCAGCCUGUGCCGUACAUGGAAGCAUGAAGAAUCCUGGCACCCCUGGCACCAGGACUCGCUGCUCUUCUCAUCAAGAGGUGGACACUCGUUCCCCGCCUCUGAAUCUGGCUGGACCUGUGAUUUGUGUUGACCGUAGAAUGCAGGCUUUACUAGAGUGAGCAGCUUCUGCUUUGCCCUCUGGAAGCCAGCUGCCAUAAAAAGAAGCUCAAGCUAGACCGCUGGCCAUCUUGGCACUGGGAUGCAGCCACACGAGUGACCUCUGUUCCUGUAUGGGGAGCAGAACCACUCAGCUGAACCCAGUCAACCCACAGAAUCGUGAGAAAUAAUCAAUUUUCAUAAGCCUC